rnacentral:lncRNA from 1 species
CUAGUCUAUUCUCACAUCAUAUCCACAUGCAUAUGUCCACUAGCAACUCAUGCUAUAUGUAUACAUACAUCUAUAUUGGCAUCAUAUAAAGGUUCUCAUGCAACAUACAUAUCCAUAUCUAUCUCAACAUCAUGCAAAUAGAUAUUCCUACAAGUAUCAUGCAAUCAUGGAUCAUCAUCCCUCACACUAAGCAUGAAAUUACCACAACUCAUAGGAUUCUCACUAUUCUACACAUGAUGAUAUAUGAUCAAAAAAAUAGUAGAACUUAGACAUAGAAUGAAACCCGGCUAUUUCGGAUAGCACCCCCCCACCUUGUGGCGUCGACACAAAGCGGGUAGCCUAGUAGCGCGAUUUACGGCCGUCGAUUCCUUCCGAUCCAAACCCAAGCUCUCUUCAAGCCAAUGGUAAGGAAGAGCAAAGCUCCACCUCCAAGUAAGCUUCUUCCACCAAAUCUCCACUUUUGGAGUAACACUCUAGGAGCUAGGAGAGAGAGAGGUUUAGAGAGGGAAAGAGAAGGCUUCUCUUUUUGGGUUAAGGGGUGGAAAAUGAGAGAAAAGGUCCAAGUCCUCAUAUCAUGUUUAUAUAUACAUAGGAAACUUAGCCUCCAAGUUAGGAAACUUAGCCUCCAAGUUAGCCCAUUACUUAGCCAUAGAAAACUUGACCCCCAAGUAAACUCUUUACUUAUGCAUAGGAAACUUAACCCCCAAGUAAGCACCUCAUUUGCACAUAGAAAACUUCUUUAAGUCCAAUAAAAAUAGUAUUUUACACUAUUUUUAUUUACUCUUACUUCUAUGUUAAAAUUCGGUACACUACACCGGUCCCGCGCAGGGAGAGACCGGUUCCCGAACGUUGGUUCUCCGGGUUCGCAGCGAGAGACCGGUCCCUGCUGGGGAGAGACCGGUCCCUCUGGGCGAAAACUGCCCAGUUCGGGCUGAUGCAAUUUUGGAUUUUUGAGGGACCUAGCUGGAUUUUGUUACAAUAGAGGGUCUAUAUGACCCAUCCCCUCUCUCUUCUUCUCAUUUCCCUCCUCACACUCUCCCCACACCCUCGUUAGAGAGAGGAGAAAGAGAAGAAGAAGGAGGAGAAGAAGAAGAAGGAGAAGGUUUUGGUGGACUUGGAGCAUUUCUUUGCCUCUUUUCCUCUUCCCACCUUGUUGGUGCUUGAAGGCUUGCACUUGGAGCUUGCCAAGAGGAGAUCUUCACCCUUUGAGCUUGGA